GAUCAUGGCUCAGGACGAACGCUGGCGGCGCACCUAACACAUGCAAGUCGAACGAGCGAGAGAGAGCUUGCUUUCUCAAGCGAGUGGCGAACGGGUGAGUAACGCGUGAGGAACCUGCCUCAAAGAGGGGGACAACAGUUGGAAACGACUGCUAAUACCGCAUAAGCCCACGGGUCGGCAUCGACCAGAGGGAAAAGGAGCAAUCCGCUUUGAGAUGGCCUCGCGUCCGAUUAG
rnacentral:rRNA from 1 species